rnacentral:rRNA from 1 species
UUUUUGUUUUUUUAUAAAAAAUGUUUUCUGCUCAAUGAUUUUAAAUAGCCGCGGUACUUUGACCGUGCAAAGGUAGCAUAAUCAUUUGCUUUAUAAUUGAGGGCUAGAAUGAAUGGAAAUACAAAACAGAAGCUUUAUUUUAAAAAAGUUAAUAAUUUGUUUUUUAAGUGAAGAAACUUAAAUGCAUUUAUGGGACAAGAAGACCCUUUUGAGCUUUAUUAUUUUUAGGUUUUUUGCUUAUUUUUAAUUUGAUUGGGGCGAUCUAGGAAGAAAGAUCUUCCUUUAUGAAUAUUGAUCCAAGUUUUUUGAUUGAUAGAACAAGUUACCAAAGGGAUAACAGCGUAAUUUUUUUUGAGAGUUCUUAUUAAAGAAAAAGAUUGCGACCUCGAUGUUGACUUAUAGUUUCCUAUUGGUGUAGCCGC